rnacentral:rRNA from 1 species
UACGAAGGGGGCUAGCGUUGCUCGGAAUCACUGGGCGUAAAGGGUGCGUAGGCGGGUCUUUAAGUCAGGGGGGAAAUCCUGGAGCUCAACUCCAGAACUGCCUUUGAUACUGAAGAUCUUGAGUUCGGGAGAGGUGAGUGGAACUGCGAGUGUAGAGGUGAAAUUCGUAGAUAUUCGCAAGAACACCAGUGGCGAAGGCGGCUUACUGGCCCGAUACUGACGCUGAGGCACGAAAGCGUGGGGAGCAAACAGG